CCUACGGGCGGCAGCAGUGGGGAAUAUUGCACAAUGGGGGAAACCCUGAUGCAGCGACGCCGCGUGAGUGAAGAAGUAUCUCGGUACGUAAAGCUCUAUCAGCAGGGAAGAUAAUGACGGUACCCGACUAAGAAGCCCCGGCUAACUACGUGCCAGCAGCCGCGGUAAUACGUAGGGGGCAAGCGUUAUCCGGAUUUACUGGGUGUAAAGGGAGCGUAGACGGCGUGGCAAGUCUGAAGUGAAAGCCCGUGGCUCAACCGCGGAACCGCUUUGGAAACUGCGUGGCUGGAGGGCUGGAGAGGUAAGCGGAAUUCCUGGGGUAGCGGGGAAAUGCGUAGAUAUCAGGAGGAACACCGGUGGCGAAGGCGGCUUACUGGACAGUGACUGACGUGGAGGCUCGAAAGCGUGGGGAGCGAACAGGAUUAGAUACCCUGUAGUC
rnacentral:rRNA from 1 species